CGUUAGCGGCGGACGGGUGGGUAACACGUGGAUAACCUACCUAUAAGACUGGGAUAACUUCGGGAAACCGGAGCUAAUACCGAAUAAUAUAUUGAACCGCAUGGUUCAAUAGUGAAAGACGGUUUUGCUGUCACUUAUAGAUGGAUCCGCGCCGCAUUAGCUAGUUGGUAGGGUAACGGCUUACCAAGGCGACGAUGCGUAGCCGACCUGAGAGGGUGAUCGGCCACACUGGAACUGAGACACGGUCCAG
rnacentral:rRNA from 1 species